rnacentral:rRNA from 1 species
UACGUAGGGGGCAAGCGUUAUCCGGAUUUACUGGGUGUAAAGGGAGCGUAGGCGGCAAGGUAAGCCAGAAGUGAAAGCCCGCGGCUCAACUGCGGGACUGCUUUUGGAACUAUCUAGCUAGAUUGCAGGAGAGGUAAGUGGAAUUCCUAGUGUAGCGGUGAAAUGCGUAGAUAUCACGCAGAACCCCGAUUGCGAAGGCAGCAUACCGGUGCACAACUGACGCUCAGGCACGAAAGCGUGGGUAUCGAACAGG